rnacentral:rRNA from 1 species
GAUGAACGCUAGCGAUAGGCCUAACACAUGCAAGUCGAGGGGCAUCACAUGAAGUAGCAAUACGGAUGGUGGCGACCGGCGCACGGGUGAGUAACACGUAUGCAACCUGCCUUCAACAAGGGGAUAACCCGUUGAAAGACGGACUAAUACCCUAUAACACAGGGGUCCCGCAUGGGAAUAUUUGUUAAAGGACAACCGGUUGAAGAUGGGCAUGCGUUCCAUUAGCUAGUUGGCGGGGUAACGGCCCACCAAGGCAACGAUGGAUAGGGGAACUGAGAGGUUUAUCCCCCACACUGGUACUGAGACACGGACCAGACUCCUACGGGAGGCAGCAGUGAGGAAUAUUGGUCAAUGGACGCAAGUCUGAACCAGCCACGUCGCGUGAAGGAAGACGGCCCUACGGGUUGUAAACUUCUUUUAUACGGGAAUAAAGUGCCCCACGCGUGGGGUUUUGCAUGUACCGUAUGAAUAAG